GAUGAACGCUGGCGGCGUGCCUAAUACAUGCAAGUCGAGCGAACGGACGAGAAGCUUGCUUCUCUGAUGUUAGCGGCGGACGGGUGAGUAACACGUGGAUAACCUACCUAUAAGACUGGGAUAACUUCGGGAAACCGGAGCUAAUACCGGAUAAUAUUUUGAACCGCAUGGUUCAAAAGUGAAAGACGGUCUUGCUGUCACUUAUAGAUGGAUCCGCGCUGCAUUAGCUAGUUGGUAAGGUAACGGCUUACCAAGGCAACGAUGCAUAGCCGACCUGAGAGGAUGAUCGGCCACACUGGAACUGAGACACGGUCCAGAUUCCUACGGGAGGCAGCAGUAGGGAAUCUUCCGCAAUGGGCGAAAGCCUGACGGAGCAACGCCGCGUGAGUGAUGAAGGUCUUCGGAUCGUAAAACUCUGUUAUUAGGGAAGAACAUAUGUGUAAGUAACUGUGCACAUCUUGACGGUACCUAAUCAGAAAGCCACGGCUAACUACGUG
rnacentral:rRNA from 1 species